UGGGGAAUCUUGCGCAAUGGGCGAAAGCCUGACGCAGCCAUGCCGCGUGAAUGAUGAAGGUCUUAGGAUUGUAAAAUUCUUUCACCGGGGACGAUAAUGACGGUACCCGGAGAAGAAGCCCCGGCUAACUUCGUGC
rnacentral:rRNA from 1 species